GACGAACGCUGGCGGCGUGCCUAAUACAUGCAAGUCGAGCGGGCCUCCGGAGGUGCUUGCACCUCCGGAAGGCCAGCGGCGGACGGGUGAGUAACACGUGGGCAACCUGCCUUUGAGGCCGGGAUAACACCGGGAAACCGGUGCUAAUACCGGAUACGUCCUCUUUCGCGCCUGCGAGAGGGGAGAAAGACGGUCUUUAAGGCCGUCGCUCAAAGAGGGGCCCGCGGCGCAUUAGCUUGUUGGUGGGGUAAGGGCCUACCAAGGGGACGAUGCGUGGCCGACCUGGGAGGGUGAGCGGCCACACUGGGACUGAGAAACGGCCCAGACUCAUGCGGGAGGCAGCAGUAGGGAAUCAUCCGCAAUGGGCGAAAGCCUGACGGUGCAACGCCGCGUGAGUGAGGAAGGUUUUCGGAUCGUAAAGCUCUGUUGUGAGGGAAGAACAGCUUCCGGAGGAAAUGCCGGAGGUUUGCCGGUACCUCACCAGAAAGCCCCGGCUAACUACGUGCCAGCAGCCGCCGUAA
rnacentral:rRNA from 1 species